rnacentral:rRNA from 1 species
GCAGGCUUAACACAUGCAAGUCGAGCGGUAACAGGAGAAGCUUGCUUCUCGCUGACGAGCGGCGGACGGGUGAGUAAUACUUAGGAAUCUACCUAGUAGUGGGGGAUAGCUCGGGGAAACUCGAAUUAAUACCGCAUACGACCUACGGGAGAAAGGGGGCAACUUGUUGCUCUCGCUAUUAGAUGAGCCUAAGUCGGAUUAGCUAGAUGGUGGGGUAAAGGCCUACCAUGGCGACGAUCUGUAGCUGGUCUGAGAGGAUGAUCAGCCACACCGGGACUGAGACACGGCCCGGACUCCUACGGGAGGCAGCAGUGGGGAAUAUUGGACAAUGGGGGCAACCCUGAUCCAGCCAUGCCGCGUGUGUGAAGAAGGCCUUUUGGUUGUAAAGCACUUUAAGCAGUGAAGAAGACUCCAUGGUUAAUACCCAUGGACGAUGACAUUAGCUGCAGAAUAAGCACCGGCUAACUCUGUGCCAGCAGCCGCGGUAAUACAGAGGGUGCAAGCGUUAAUCGGAAUUACUGGGCGUAAAGCGAGCGUAGGUGGCUUGAUAAGUCAGAUGUGAAAGCCCCGGGCUUAACCUGGGAACGGCAUCUGAUACUGUUAGGCUAGAGUAGGUGAGAGGAGGGUAGAAUUCCAGGUGUAGCGGUGAAAUGCGUAGAGAUCUGGAGGAAUACCGAUGGCGAAGGCAGCCUUCUGG